AUGCUCACUUCGGCAGCACCUGCACUAACAUUGGGACAAUACAGAGAAGAUUGGCAUGGCCCCUGUGCAAGGAUGUUGCCAAAUUCAGCUUCCUCGUAAUGUCU